rnacentral:rRNA from 1 species
UACGUAGGGUGCGAGCGUUGUCCGGAAUUAUUGGGCGUAAAGAGCUUGUAGGCGGUCUGUCGCGUCUGCUGUGAAAAUCCGGGGCUCAACCCCGGACUUGCAGUGGGUACGGGCAGACUAGAGUGCGGUAGGGGAGACUGGAAUUCCUGGUGUAGCGGUGAAAUGCGCAGAUAUCAGGAGGAACACCGGUGGCGAAGGCGGGACUCUGGGCCGAUACUGACGCUGAGGAGCGAAAGCGUGGGGAGCGAACAGG